rnacentral:rRNA from 1 species
AUUGAACGCUGGCGGAAUGCUUUACACAUGCAAGUCGAACGGCAGCACGGACUUCGGUCUGGUGGCGAGUGGCGAACGGGUGAGUAAUGUAUCGGAACGUGCCCAGUCGUGGGGGAUAACGUAGUGAAAAUUACGCUAAUACCGCAUACGAUCUAUGGAUGAAAGCGGGGGGUCGCAAGACCUCGCGCGAUUGGAGCGGCCGAUAUCAGAUUAGGUAGUUGGUGGGGUAAAGGCCCACCAAGGCAACGAUCUGGAGCUGGUCUGAGAGGACGACCAGGCAAACCGGAAAUGAGACAAGGUCCCGACUCCUACGGGAGGCAGCAGUGGGGAAUUUUGGACAAUGGGCGAAAGCCUGAUCCAGGCAUUCCGCGUGCAGGAUGAAGGCCCUCGGGUUGUAAACUGCUUUUGUACAGAGCGAAAAGGUUUCUACUAAUACUAGGAGCUCAUGACGGUACUGUAAGAAUAAGCACCGGCUAACUACGUGCCAGCCGCCGCGGUAA